GACGAACGCUGGCGGCGUGCUUAACACAUGCAAGUCGAACGGAGUGGCGAACGGGUGAGUAACACGUGGGUGAUCUGCCUUGCACUUCGGGAUAAGCUUGGGAAACUGGGUCUAAUACCGGAUAGUGCAAGAUGAGCUCGCGGCCUAUCAGCUUGUUGGUGGGGUAAUGGCAUACCAAGGCGUCGACGGGUAGCCGGCAUGAGAGGGUGUACGGCGUCAUUGGGACUGCGAUACGGGCCAGAGUCCAACGGGAGGCAGCAGGGGGGAAUAUUGCGCAAGGGGGGGAAGCCUAAUGCAGAGACCCCGCGUGGGGGAUUAAGGCCUUCGGGUUGUAAACUCCUUUCGACAGGGACGCGGUACCUGUAUAAGAAGCACCGGCUAACUACGUGCCAGCAGCCGCGGUAAUAC
rnacentral:rRNA from 1 species